AGUGCAGAAAACGCCAAGAGAGAAAUGCUUACACAGGGAUCUGUUGAAUCCGUUUUCGCUGACGUGCAGGAGAAGCAGUUUGUCUUCACCCGGCCACCGUCGCGUCAGCGUUGCGGAGUAUUUUGUCCGCCCAUCGCCGCCGUCCCAGAUUAGUCAGAGGACCGUGUGUUUCGGAGGAGCCGGCUGGUGCUACCGGCACCAUGGAGUCCCCUUUUAGUCCGGGACUCCCUCACCGACCGGGUGAAGACUGGGAUUCUGCUCUGUUUGCUGAACUUGGCUAUUUCACAGACACUGAUGACCUGCAGUUGGAUGCAGCACAUGAAACUUAUGAAAACAAUUUUGAUAAUCUUGAUUUUGGUUUGGAUUUAAUGCCAUGGGAGACAGGCAUUUGGGAUAUCAACAACCAAUUCUGUACAGGUAUGAUGU